rnacentral:tmRNA from 1 species
GGGGGUGAACUAGAUUCGACGUAAGAGGCUGAGGCUGUGUGGCAGGCAGUGGCGCUCACCCACUCUAAAAUGAGCAAACCAUUGAGUGCCAAAGACACUCGCCCUGCUCUGGCUUACGCCGCCUAAGACGGCUUAGUCAGGGUGCUGGGUCAUAGUAACCCAGCCGUCCGUCCCAUCCGUCGCUGUUCGGAUGGCAUGACGGGCGUCACCAAUAACAGCGUGCGACACCCGCAACGCCGAUAAGCGGGGUCAAAGAAAGGAUCGGCUAGGGAAACACGUACCGCGUUGACCGGGGCUGUGUUUCCCGAAAAUGAACGGUCAACUAAGCCUGUAGAAGCACUUCUUCGAAUCUUGCGGACCAGAGUGCAAAUCUCUGCACCUCCACAC